rnacentral:rRNA from 1 species
AUGCUCCCCACCGCGCCGCCUCUUCCUCCCCUUCACUGUUCUCUCCAGCGGCGGCAAAGAUCUGGCGGCAAAGGGAGACGACGAGGGCGCUUGAUCCGAUCUGCUGAAGACAAGGAAGGAGAGGAGGGAGAAAGAGAGAGGAAAGAGGAGAGGGAGGUGUGGUGGCGGAUGAGAGAGGGUCACCGGAAGGAGCGUGACGACCUGCAGGCAAAGGGCGGCGGCGGCGCCGCUCGAUUUGAUCUGCGGGAGAGAGAAGAUGAGAGGGGGAGGGAGAGGGAGAGAGAGAAGGAAGGAGACGAGAGGAGAGAGAAAGAGAGAGGAGAAAGGAGAGGAGGGGGGCGACGGCGGUCGGGAGAGGAUCACCGGAAGGAGUGCCGCCGGCUCAUCGUCUUUCAUACCUACCCAUGCAGCUGCCGGCUGCAGGGGUGUUGCAAGGAGUUAGAGGUCGUGCGCUGGCCGGAGCAGCAGGAGCAAGGAUAUGGCCGCCUCUCUUCUCUGCCACGGUUCCCUCCUCUUCCUUCAGCUCUCGAGAUGUCGACCUGCAGGUUAAGGCAAACCAUUGUUUGA